rnacentral:rRNA from 1 species
UACGUAGGGUGCAAGCGUUGUCCGGAAUUAUUGGGCGUAAAGAGCUCGUAGGCGGUCUGUCGCGUCGGAUGUGAAAAUCCAGGGCUCAACCCUGGACCUGCAUUCGAUACGGGCAGACUAGAGUUCGGCAGGGGAGACUGGAAUUCCUGGUGUAGCGGUGAAAUGCGCAGAUAUCAGGAGGAACACCGGUGGCGAAGGCGGCUCUCUGGGACGGUACUGACGCUGAGACGCGAAAGCGUGGGGAGCGAACAGG